UCAGCUUGUUUAAAGUUACGAGUAUUGUUUAGUCGAUACAGUCGAAAUGGAUAAUUUUAAGAGCAAUUUUUAAUUAGUUCAACAAGUUCACUUAUAAACUUUGUUUAGCGGUUUUUUGGCGACAUAUAAUAUAUUCAUCUCUUUCUAUCAUCACUUGUUUCGAUAUUCAAAAGGAGAAAACACAACAUUGUUUUACUAAUUACCCUCUUAAUAAAGAAGAGAGAGAAAAUAUAGAAAAUACUUAUUUUAUUGACAAUAAUGCUAAGACUUUUAUUAUUUUACUGGUAAAAUCAUUGUUGAGAGGUGAGGGUGCUAUUUAUAGUGGAAGUACAUCGAUGUUGUGAAGAUUAUCUGGCGUAUUUACUGUACAGCUGGGAAUAAACAGUAAUUUUUACGCCGCUGCGGCUAGGUGGGUUAUCUGUAUCCCGGAAAAGCAACUACGAUAGAAGGCCUGCAUAGGUGGGCCAACCGCCGGGGCACGGUAGUAUGCACAAGCGAUCCUGUGACGUCCCCAAUGAGACGAAUGGGAGUGUUCGUGUUAUUCCCAAAAGGAUAACUAAGCACCAAGUUAGAUCAUCAAUCUCUCAUUAAUUACAAGUCCCUUCGCCCAGCCCUGGGACUGCACGGUGAUACCUUACUUACUCGAAGUUAAAUUUAGUUGUUACAUAAUUUUCAUUUAAGUUUUCAAUAUUCUAAUAACAUACUAAAUAAUAACUAGCGGAAUAACGGAAUAGUAUAAUGAGUAAAUGGUGUCGUUUUAUUCUCCAUAGAUACUUUCAGAGAGGUGCCCGGGCUUAUGUGAGAUUCUUAACAUGUUUUGAGAAGAGGCUGCGGGAUCGUGAGUUGAUGUAACGUAUCCUUGGCUCCUCUCAAAAUGUAUGGUGCCUACGCUAACAUGCCACAUACCCAUCAUUACAGUAACAGCCUUUGAUUUUCCCACUGCUGGGCUAAGGCCUCCUCUCCUUUUUUGAGGAGUAGGUUUGGUGCUUAUUCCACCAAGCUGCUCCAAAGCGGGUUGGAAUGUGGAACACAUUUGGCAGAAUUUCAGUGAAAUUAGACAUCAAUUAUUUCUAAUAAUUUUAUGUUAAAAUAUCACAUCCAUGUUAUCUCAAGAUUAUAUUUUUUUCAAAGUGAUAUGAAGAGAUAUGAUCUUAACCAACGAUUUAAUAUUUAUUGUCUAUAAUAAUUGAUUUCGUGCUCAGCAGUAAAGGAAAAAAAUCAUGAGAUCCUCAUGAUGUUUUUCUUCACCGCCUCAACCUACACGUGGCGAAUGAAAAUCUGUCACGCGUAUCCAACAACCCGCAUUGGAGCAGCGUGGUGGAGUAAGCCCUAAACCUUCUCCUCAAUAAGGAAAGGAGGUUUUAUCCAGCAGUGGAACAUUUAAACUUUUACACAGGUUAUUUCUAUCCCGGUGUAUAUAGUAUGGUGAUAUAGAUUGUCUUGCAAUAUAUAAGUACUGCUUUAAACAUACAUUCAUUAAUGUACUGUCGCGACCUGUGACGCUUAAGACUCGCCAAUAUGCUACACAAACACGCAUGCCCGCGCUCCGUGCAAUUCAGAAUGUAACUAAUAAUUUUAAAAUGGGUUUUUUAAUUUUAUUGUAUAUUAAUAAUUGUA